AUUAAUAAUAUUUGUGUUCACACUUAUAUUUAUGUUCACACAUAUAUUGAGAAUCGGAAGUUGAGAAGUUGCCGUUGCUGAUGCUCUCAAUCUGUUAUUUCCAAAAUUGUCCCGUUCUAUUCCAUGUUUUGCCCCAAUGUCGACCAAACUAUUUCUAUGAUUUGCCCCAAUGAAGAGAAUCUAUAAACCAAAUUUCAUC
rnacentral:sRNA from 1 species